UUGGUUGGGGCUGAGGGUAAAAUUGGGUUUGACUAUUUGAGUGCCCAAGCUAGAAAGGUUUAGAGUUUCUCUCUCAUUUUGCUUCACAAUGUUUGAAUUCUUUAAGGUAUUUUCUUAAGGAUAUAUUUAAAUGCAUAUUAGUUUUCUUUUUCAUAAGGUUCAGAGAAAAGUAUUUUUUUUUUUCAACCCAAUAUGGAUGUUUAAGGGGAGAUUUUUAAAUCUAACUUGGUCAUGGACUAGAUUUGUGCAGCCUUGGUCCCAGUAGGAUAGCAGGUAGUGUCACAUUUAACUAGUCCCUAUAUCCUUUACUAUUCUAUUCCACCUUUGGUCUUGAUAUCCCUUUCCUCUCUCUAGAUUGUCUUUCAUUUUGAGUGUUGUAUAUUCUAAGGCAGGUGGAGAAGAUAGAUGAGCUCCAAGAUACAAACUUAAGGCAGAGGAAGAAGAUAGAUGAGCUCAUGGAUGCAAAAAUAAGGUAGGAGGAGAAAUUAGACUUGCAAAAUACUCAAAUAGCUGGCAUCAUAAAAUUUUUGAGGAGCAAGGGUUUCAAUGACAUUUGUGGUAGUGGGAGGAGCUCAUCUACUAACUAGAGCACACCUUGAUAUGGGAUUGGUGGCAAAAAGAUAGCUUUUGUGGGACUACUUGAAUUCAAAAAUAUUUUCUAUAAAGUUUGGAAGCUAAGACAUCAUUUGUAUAUUAAUGGUUGUAAUUACUUUGUGAACAUCUUUAUUGCAUUUUAGAUUGCAAUGAUGUUUUUUUUUUUU